AACCCAUGAUGUGGGCAGAGUCUCAUCAUGUCCUUAUAUCUUUCCCAUGCCUCAAAAAGGGAUUCACUGUCAGCUUGUCUAAUUGGUUUCUUAACAUUGUUGUU